GCGAGCGGAGCUCAACGCAUCUCUGUGGACAGAGGGGGGAGGCAGUGUGACUGGGGAGGACCGUAUCACAUGAGAUCACUGAAGAGAGAAUCUGUCCCGUCUGCCAUGCAGUAACGUUAGCGCUAACUUUUAGCGAAUCCGUUCUACAAUACAAGGAAAAUGGAAGUAUCAAGGAGAAGAAUUUACAGCAAGCCCCUCCAGCCAGCAAGGCCCCUUCGUCGUUUAAAUACUGAUCAAGAGCCUCUGAGAAAUGACGGAACAGAGACGUUUGCAUGCGCACACGCAGACGACAACCCAGUGAAGAGCAUUGGUGUGGAUCAACUGUACGAAAUCAUCCAUUUACAUACCCAGAGUCACCAAAAACCCAAGAAACAGAGAAUCUCUUACAGCAGAGAGUUUCUGAUUAAGUUGGCCAGCUCACCUAUUGCGAAGAGGAGGCCUGAUUUUUUACCAGAACAUCCCGUUGUUUUGGAGAAGCCGAGAGAACCUGAUGUAUCAUGGUUGUGUCACUAGCAAAAGCCCUGGAUGACUUAUCUGCUGUACCAUGAAGAAUUUGGAUCGGCGCUAAUUUUAUGUUUAAUGACACUUCCAGCUCCUUUCCUCCCUGUUUGCUUAAUGGCCUGUGUACAUGGUACGCAAAAUACUCUGUUUCUCUAAUGAGCUGCAGGCUGAAUGGAUGAUACAGAAGAGAUGCCUAAACGAGCUGGGAAGGAAGAAAAUUCUACUGGCGUGGGGGAAAAGCUUAAGGUUUUUGCACAGUAAAAAAUGUAAAUAUGGUGCCAAGGGUGGGGAAGGAAGCAGCACUUUACAGCAGAGCCUUGUCUUUUUGAUGCUGUACUGUGCAUGUGCAAAUUACAUGUUUUAGGUUUUAGCAGUGUGCUUAUUGAUUAGUCAUGCUGUGAGUGUUGUACCCCACUGCUAACAAAAACCAAGCCAAAAAAGAACUAAAAACUAAAACUUUUAAGAUAUGGGUCUCAGUGAACGUCAUAGUGAAAGUUCUGAUGUUACGCACGUGAGGUGAUUUUUCCUUUGUGACUUUAUUUACAUUUGAAAUGGUUCCGUUAAGCUUCUCCCAGCUGGUGCAAUGUUUCUGUAGCCUACUAACAGGGGAGGGGAGGUCUUUUCUUUUGUUCUCAACGUUAAUGUUAGAAUUGGAGUGAAACAGAUUUGGUGUGCAUACAGUGUUUGAGGUUUGAUUCCCUCCCCCCAUCUUUUUUUUUCAGUUUUUUAGAAAUGUUGUUCAUUGGUGGCUACAG